rnacentral:rRNA from 1 species
GAUGAACGCUGGCGGCGUGCUUAACACAUGCAAGUCGAACGAUGAAGCCCAGCUUUCUGGGUGGAUUAGUGGCGAACGGGUGAGUAACACGUGAGUAACCUGCCCUUAACUCUGGGAUAAGCCUGGGAAACUGGGUCUAAUACCGGAUAGGAGCGUCCACCGCCUGGUUGGUGUUGGAAAGAUUUAUCGGUUUUGUAUGGACUCUCGGCCUAUCAGCUUGUUGGUGAGGUAAUGGCUCACCAAGGAGACUACGCGUAGCCGGCCUGAAGGGGUGACCGGCCACACUGGAACUGAGAAAGAGGCAGGACUGCUAGUGGAGGCAGCAGUAGAGAACGGUCCGCAGUGGGCGGAAGGCUGACGGAGCAACGCCGCGUAAGUGAUGAAGGUCUUAGGAGCGUAAAACUCUGUGACGAGGGAAGAACAAAAGUGGAAGUAACAAUGCACGCCUUGACGGGACCUAAUCAGAAAGCCACCGCUAACUACGUG